UGAGGAAUAUUGGUCAAUGGGCGAGAGCCUGAACCAGCCGAGUAGCGUGCAGGAUGACGGCCCUAUGGGUUGUAAACUGCUUUUAUGUGGGGAUAAAGUGCGUGACGUGUCAUGCAUUGCAGGUACCACAUGAAUAAGGACCGGCUAAUUCCGUGCCAGCAGCCGCGGUAAUACGGAAGGUCCGGGCGUUAUCCGGAUUUAUUGGGUUUAAAGGGAGCGUAGGCUGUCUAUUAAGCGUGUUGUGAAAUUUACCGGCUCAACCGGUGGCUUGCAGCGCGAACUGGUCGACUUGAGUAUGCAGGAAGUAGGCGGAAUUCAUGGUGUAGCGGUGAAAUGCUUAGAUAUCAUGACGAACUCCGAUUGCGCAGGCAGCUUACUGUAGCAUAACUGACGCUGAUGCUCGAAAGUGCGGGUAUCAAACAGG
rnacentral:rRNA from 1 species